GCAUUUCUCAUGCUUGGAUUUUUCAUCUUUUAUUAGGCACAUCAAUUGUUAUCAUUUAAAACAGCAACAAGAUGCCUUUGCACCUGUGUAAAUCUGCUGGGUUUAACUGCAGAUCCAGGGAUGAGGCUGGGGAUGAAGCUCAAAUGGGAAAGUCUGAGUUGCCUGUGUCUGCAAUGAAAUUAUAAAUCCACAUCCCAGAGCAAAUGAGCAGUAGGAGGCAGACAGUAAUCUCCAUCAGCAGAAGUGCUGGGCUGUAGCAGGAAGGGUGGAAGUUGCAAGUGGCUCUGAUAAAACACCCAAGCUAGGAGAGCUGUUGGCAUUUCUCCUGGCAGCAUCUCUCACAAAAGGAGCAAAUUCAGGCAAGAACAUCUGAUAAGGGAGCCCACGACACUAAAUCAGCCUGGGUUUGAGAGCUGUGCCUUGCACCUUAAACCUCGUGUCUGUCCCUCAGUUUCCCCAUCCAUAAAAUGGAGGAUGUGCUGCCAAACCCUGCUUGAAAAACACGGUCAGAUGCAGAAAAUGUAACUGAAGAGCUCAGGUGAUGCUUGUCCACUGUCACGCAACAGAUCAAGGGCACUGAGCUCUGCACUUCAGCAGUCACACUCCCUAAGCACCUGGGCUGGAAAGGAGCAGCCUCAACCAAGCAUCCAAGCUGGAUAUGGAGCAACCGCGAUUCUGCGCUGGAAGGAAACCAGCCCUGAGGAGGCAAUUGGCCUCUGUCAUCCCCAAAGCCUAAUUAACCAAACCAUCCCCACUUGUGGGAGGCUUUAGUGGGAUCAGAGAGGAGCAUCCAGGGAGGUCGGGGGAGGAAUGUGCUGUCCCCACAUGGGAUGUGGGUGCUGGCAGGGUGCAGAGCUGAGCAUCUUCCCGGCUCUACCAGGGCUGCCCGGGGAAAAUGACCUCUCUGGUUCGCGAUCACUCGUGUGGAUGAAGCCUCCAGUGGGGAGAGGGAGACAGCGAGAGGAGUGGAGGCUGGCCGUGCCCGACGCUUUGCCAUGUAAACCUCCUCGGCCUCGCACACUGCAGCACAGACAGAUGUUGGCACAGCCCCGGACCUGCAGAACGGUGAGUGAGGGGCACGGGGGGGUUCAGCUUGGGGGGGCUGUGCCCUCAGUGCUUGUGGCUGUCAUGCUUCAGGGCAUUAACUCCCUGCUCCUCUCCUCAGCUCUAAGCACUCGGUGCCACCACAUUUGAAGCCUCGAUGUUUGCUCCAUGUAAUGGCAGAGAAAGCUCUGCCCAUUGCUGCUGCCCCAAAAUGAGCAAGAAAAGACUGGAGGGAAGGCGUAGCGCUGGGCUUGGGGCUUGCGGGGAUGAUGAGUGCUGGCAAGGGCUCUGGAUAGCUGCACAGGCAGCCGCAGGGUCCCCAGUGCCACUCAUGGCUUGAAGAAAGGCAUUUUUGGAGUUAUG
rnacentral:lncRNA from 1 species